rnacentral:rRNA from 1 species
GAGUUUGAUCCUGGCUCAGGACGAACGCUGGUGGCGGGCCUCAUACAUGCAAGUCGAACGAACCACCCGGUGCUUGCACCGGACUGGUGAGUGGCGAACGGGUGAGUAAUACAUGAGAAACCUGCCCUGAAGACAGGGAUAACCUUGGGAAACCAAGACUAAUACCUGAUGCUCCUGCGAGGUCGCAUGACCACGCAAGAAAAACUCCGGUGCUUCAGGAGGGUCUCAUGGCCUAUCAGCUAGUUGGUAAGGUAACGGUUACCAAGGCUAAGACCGGGUCAGCUGGUCCUUGACGAGGAUCCGCUCCAGCCACACUGGGACUUGAGACACGGCCCAGACUCCUACGGGGAGGCAAGCAGGUAGGGAAUCUUGCGCAAUGGGCGAAAAGCCUGACGCAGCCACGCCACGUGUGGGGACGGACGGCCUUCGGGUUGUAAACCACUUUCAGCAGGGGAGAAAAUGGACGGUACCUUGCAGAAGAAGCCCCGGCAAACUACGUGCCCAAGCAAGCCGGGGGUAAACACGUAAGGGGGCGAAGCGUUGUCCGGGAAUUAUUGGGGGCGUAAAAGGGGCUCCGAAGGCGGUUAAGUAAGGUCCCGAUUGUGGAAACUUCAGGGUUCAAACCCGGGAGACGGCCAUUCUGGAAACUUACUUUUUGGCUUAGAAGGUUGGGAAAGGAGUGCCAAAUUUCCCGGGUACCGGGAAAUUGGGGCC